CCUACGGGAUGCAGCAGCAAGGAAUUUUCCGCAAUGGGCGCAAGCCUGACGGAGCAACGCCGCGUGGGGGAUGACGCCUUUCGGGGUGUAAACCCCUUUUCUGCGGGAGGACAACCGACAGUACCGCAGGAAGAAGGCCCGGCUAACUACGUGCCAGCAGCCGCGGUAAUACGUAGGGGCCGAGCGUUGUCCGGAAUUACUGGGCGUAAAGCGCGCGCAGGCGGCUGGUCAAGCCCGACGUGAAAGCCCCCGGCUCAACCGGGGAGGGUCGUCGGGGACUGAUCGGCUUGAGGGCGGUAGGGGCCGGUGGAAUUCCCGGUGUAGUGGUGAAAUGCGUAGAGAUCGGGAGGAACACCAGUAGCGAAGGCUGCCGGCUGGGCCGACCCUGACGCUGAGGCGCGAAGGCGUGGGGAGCGAACGGGAUUAGAUACCCGCGUAGUC
rnacentral:rRNA from 1 species